rnacentral:rRNA from 1 species
CGCGAGUAUUCAGAGUUUGAUCCUGGCUCAGAACGAACGCUGGCGGCAUGCCUAAUACAUGCAAGUCGAACGAACACUUCGGUGUUAGUGGCGCACGGGUGCGUAACGCGUGGGAAUCUACCCUUGGGUUCGGAAUAACAGUUAGAAAUGACUGCUAAUACCGGAUGAUGACGUAAGUCCAAAGAUUUAUCGCCCAAGGAUGAGCCCGCGUAAGAUUAGCUAGUUGGUAAGGUAAAGGCUUACCAAGGCUACGAUCUUUAGCUGGUCUGAGAGGAUGAUCAGCCACACUGGGACUGAGACACGGCCCAG